rnacentral:rRNA from 1 species
UACGAAGGGGGCUAGCGUUGCUCGGAAUCACUGGGCGUAAAGGGUGCGUAGGCGGGUCUUUAAGUCAGGGGUGAAAUCCUGGAGCUCAACUCCAGAACUGCCUUUGAUACUGAAGAUCUUGAGUUCGGGAGAGGUGAGUGGAACCGCGAGUGUAGAGGUGAAAUUCGUAGAUAUUCGCAAGAACACCAGUGGCGAAGGCGGCUCACUGGCCCGAUACUGACGCUGAGGCACGAAAGCGUGGGGAGCAAACAGGG